UACGGAGGGUGCAAGCGUUAUCCGGAAUUACUGGGUUUAAAGGGUGCGUAGGCGGUUAGAUAAGUCAGAAGUGAAAGCUCGCAGCUUAACUGUGGAAUUGCUUUUGAAACUGUUUAACUUGAAUCAAGCUAAGGUAGGCGGAAUGUGACAUGUAGCGGUGAAAUGCAUAGAUAUGUCAUAGAACACCAAUUGCGAAGGCAGCUUACUAGACUUGUAUUGACGCUGAGGCACGAAAGCGUGGGGAGCGAACAGG
rnacentral:rRNA from 1 species